AUGAUCUCCUGCCAUUUCAGCAGAUGGAGGAAUGGGGCCGGAGGUGAAAAUGGGCAGGAGGACUCGGGAGGCUCUCUGGUGGCAGCAGAGCCGGCGUGCUCGUGUUGGCCAUUUCUCAGCUGGGGAAUCCGCCACGGAGAGGUUCCCUUUAGCAAGAGAGGCAGAGGCUCCCUUUCUCAGGUCUUUCAGGGUGCUGUCUGCCUUCCUUCGAGACGUUUCCCCAGGAGGAUGGGCCAAGAGGAGCUCCGUCCGUGCCUCAUCCCGCCCCCGCCCCCAGCCCCAGCCCUCGACUCCCAGCCCCUGUCCAGUCAGGUGAGGCGCCCAGAGUACCUCGUGAGCAGCACCACCGCCUUGCUGACAGUGACUUGUGUGUCCCCCAGAACUCACGACGACGAUGUUGUGGAGGCCGGUGGGAGUGAGAAGACUGAGGCAAAGCCCCGGGCUGGGGGACAUGAGGACGAGGCGGCCCCAGUACCUGAGGUGGAGGUGGAGGAGGAGGCGGGCCAGCCCCGUGAAAAUGGCCAGGAGGAGUCCUUAGCCAUCGCCUGGGCUGAGCCGGAAGACGAGCCUGGCCCCAAGGUGGACGGGGCGGACGAUGAAAUCUCUUGGAGCUUGGAGAGUGUGUGUGAGAGCGACCUCGCUGACAGCAACCUCGCAGAAAGUGAUCGAGACUCGGUGGCGGAGCGCACCGACUGCCGCCAGGAUGAGGAGGCUGCAGGAACUCACGACGACGAUGUUGUGGAGGCCGGUGGGAGUGAGAAGACUGAGGCAAAGCCCCGGGCUGGGGGACAUGAGGACGAGGCGGCCCCAGUACCUGAGGUGGAGGUGGAGGAGGAGGCGGGCCAGCCCCGUGAAAAUGGCCAGGAGGAGUCCUUAGCCAUCGCCUGGGCUGAGCCGGAAGACGAGCCUGGCCCCAAGGUAAGCUCACCUUUCUUGAUGUGAGGUUGGAAAAGGUGCCUCCUUUCUUCUUGGAUGUACCUCCUUCAGAAAUGGAAAUCUGAGAAAGUCCACUGUAGAUGAUAUAUGCAGAUUGCUGUGCGGAGGACUGUUGAGUCCAAGUUUGGUACCAAGCAGUAGCUCCUUCCCAGGGGCAUUUGCAAAAGGGACCGCAUCAGUUCCCAAGUGUGCAGUAGGGAGCAUAUGUCUUUGAAGAAGCCGGAAUGUUGUUUUGUCUUGUUUGUCUUUUUUUGCCUUUUCUAGGGCCCCCCGCGGCAUAUGGAGAUGAGGUUCCCAGGCUAGGGGUCUGAUCGGAGCUGUAGCCACCGGCCUACGCCAGAGCCACAGCAACGUGGGAUCCGAGCCUCGUCUGCCACCUACACCACAGCUCAGGGCAGCGCCGGAUACUUCACCCACUGAGCAAGGCCAGGGAUCGAACCCGCAACCUCAUGGUUCUUGGUCCGAUUCGUUAACCACUGUGCCCGAUGGGAAGGCCAAAGAAGCCUGAAUGUUUGUUAAAUGUACGAGGACUUGGGAGAUCUUCCAUGAAAAGCUGGCGCCUUUUCCAAAGGGGUCUUCGCCGUGUUCUUUUGGGGAAACGGACUCAACGCUGCCUUCUGUCUGCGUGCCUGCGGUCCCCAACGGCAGGAAGACCUGUGGCCGCAGUGCAGAGGAUGCUGUGACACUCACCGUGUUUUCUCUUGUCUCAUCACAGGUGGACGGGGCGGACGAUGAAAUCUGUGAGUAUUCUGGAGCCCGGCUCUGCUGAGGAGAAGUCCAGGUGUUGAGGAAAUGGGGGGGGGGCCCGAGGGAGGCGGGGUGGGGGGGCUCUCCUGCUCCUUUGGUUGCAGAGACACCCUGAUUCUGGGUUCCUCCUGGGAAUGAGGGUGAAGGAUGGGGUGAAAGAGACGGACUUCCCAAGAAGGGCCACCCCAGGUUCUAGGGUCCCUGGACGAAAGGAGGCUCUUUGUAUGGCGUGGGUAGGUGUCGGGGGACACGCGGGGGGGGGGAGGGUGGUGCGUGUGAGGGCCUGCUGGUGUGAUUGGCAAUCAGUGUGAGUGGGUGUGUGCUGUGGGGAGCCGUUUGUGGCUUAGCACCACACAGCUGUCCAGCUUCUAAUUGAGGAGUCUCACGAUGACCGCAGGCUAACCGUCCAUUCCCUCGUUCUGCCCGCACCGGCUGGGAGCAAGGGUUUGGGGGAAAGGCAUUGCUUCCUCUGUUGGUCUUUCUUUUCCUUUUCGCUUCCCUCUCUGCCUUGUGUGGACUUUGAUACCGUUGUUUCAAACACGUGCCAGGGACUCGAGCCCCUUCAGGCUGUGAGUGUCCCGAGGAGUGUUGUGAACGCUGUGCUCCACCCGCACCUCCUGCCCACUCUGGGCAGCCACCCUUCCAGCCUCUGCUCAGGAGUGGUGUGUCAGACACUUGAUGCGCAUGACAUCAGAGAGUCUUUGUCCUUCUGUGCCUGACUUGCUUCGCUUGAAAUGCUGUCCUCCAGCGAGUUCCUGUCGAGGCUCAGUGGUCAUGAACCCGACUGGUAUCUCUGAGGACGCGGGUUCGACCCUUGGCCUUGCUCAGUGGGGGAAGAAUCCAGCGUUGCGGUGAGCUGCCUGCGGCAGAGGUCCCAGACGCGGCUGGUAUCCAGCUUUGCUGCAGCUGGGGUGUAGGCCGGUGGCUACAGCUCUGAUUUGCCGCCUCGCCUGGGAAUUUCCGUAUGCCGCGGGGGCCGCCCUCAAACCCCGAGACGAAUCGAUCAGUAAUGUCCUCCAGUUCUCUGUGCACUGCUGCAGUGGGUAGGGUUUCUGUGGGCUGUAUCCAUCCCGUUGUCUUUCUCAGUCUGUGUGCCCGUGGGCACUGGGGCUCUGUUUCUGUUGGGCUCUCGUGUGUGUGGCGCUGCCGGGAUCCUGGGAUGGCGGGUCUCUUUACCCGACACCGAUGGUUCUUCCUUUAGAUGUCCACGCAGCAGUGGGACUGCGGGGUCCCGUGCUAGGUCCGUGGGCAGCUUUCCUGAGGACCUGCCAUAGUGUUUCCCGUCCUGGCUGGGCCAGCUGACCUUCCCGCCCACAGCGUACAGAAGUCCCAGGUAGUCACAUCUUCCCAGACGACCUGUUCACGCUUGAAAACACUCCGCGUCCUACGAGGAGGGAGGUGAUAGCUCGUUGUGCCUUUGCUUUGCCUUGCCGUUGUGGUGGGUGACUUUGGGAAACGUUCCGUGUGUGUGCUGCUGUCUGUUGUCUUCUUGGACGGAGGCGGUCUCCCAGGCUUCCGCUCACCUACACCUGAGUUAUUUGCCUUUUGGGUCAAUUGAUUUGGCGUUGUUUCCCACAGAUUCUGGACAUGAGCCCCUGUUCCAAAUGUAAGGUUUGCAGAUAGCGUCUUCUGCGGGUUGUCUUUCCAUUCAGUGGCUCGUCAGACACUGUCCUUUCUGUUUGUCUCUGUGUUCAUUGAGGUGCCGUGUUGUUUCAUUUUCUGCCGUGUAGCAACAUUCCCAGGCGUGUGUGUGCAUAAACACAGGUUCCUUUUGGACUGUUAUCGUCCGUCCCGGUCGAUUUCAGGAGAUGGGAUCCAGUUCCCCGUGCGCUGCAGCAGGAGGACCUCGUCGUCGCUCCAUUCUCAAUGCCGUAGUUGGCAUCGACUCCCCCCAAACGCCCAGUCCGUGCCCUUCACGAAAGCCACAAGUCUGUUCUCUGUGUCCGUGGGUUUUGUGGACAGGGUCCUUUGUGCCAUGGUUUAGACUCCACAUCUAAGUGAGAUCUCUCUCUUUGUCACGUACUUCGCUUUGUAUGAGAAUGUCUCGAUCCAGCCCUAUGGUUUUGAAUGGCAUUGGUUUCUUCUUGGAUUUUCUGGCUGAGUCGUGAAUUCCCUCGUGUAUGUGGACCACAUGGUCGUGAUCCAUCCCUGUGCCUGUGGACAUGAGGUGGCGUCCCUGUCCUGGCUGUUGUGAGUGGUGCCGCCAUAUACACACACAGGGGCAUGUGUCUCUUUCCUGGAUACGUGUGUCGUGGUAUCUUCCAGGGCGCUCGCUCGGCUUGCUGGGUCGCAUGCUGUGCUGCGUUCCGUUUUGGGAGGCCCCUCCGUGGUGCCUUCGGUAGUGGUUGUACCGGUGUACGUUCGCACCGGCAGUGCUGGGGGGAGGCCUUUGCUCCAGCCGUGUCUGCGACCGACACCAGAGCUGGCGGCAACGCUGGAUCCUUAACCCCCUCGGCGAGGCCAGGGAUCAGCCCCGCAAGCUCGUGGUUCCGGUCGGAUUUGUUUCCGCUGCGCCCCGACGCCCCGACGGGAACUCCUGGCUUGUUUCUUUGCUGUUGCUGUUGAGGUGUAUGAGUUUUCUUUAUGUGUGCUUUGGAGAGGAACCUCACGGGCAGGGGUACCCGUCUCCUCAGUGUUUCUGUAGAGCUGCUGUCCACAGCGUGGCAGCCGCUGUCCAGAGGGAGCCAUUUAUGCUUCAUUGAAUUCAGCCAGUAGUUAGGUCUGCCUCUGGCAGUGAACAGAAGAAAGCAGCCAAGGGUUCACUCCCCCGAGCCAGCACGCAAGGGUGUCCGUGCAGCUGGACUUUCAGGUGUGUCACGCUGGGGCUGAGGCCUCCGGAGGGACUCCUAGAAGGGAGGCGUGCGUGUAAAGCGCCAUCCCUCAGCAGCCCACGAUCUCGGACGGUUUGCCACUGUGGCCAGUGUUUUAUUGAUGCUUCUGAGGCCAUAGAGCACGCACGGGGAAGUUCUGAGCACACGGAGGACAAGCCAGGGCGGUGCUGUGUGGCCGCAGUCAACCCUAAGUAGGGGUCCGAGUGGGGGACGGUCGCUAACACCUCGAUUCCUCAUGUCUGUGUUUCUGCAGCUUGGAGCUUGGAGAGUGUGUGUGAGAGCGACCUCGCUGACAGCAACCUCGCAGAAAGUGAUCGAGGUAAGAACAGCUCUCAGGUAGGAGCCAGUGGGAGAGGGUUCCCGGGACACUUGGGUUAGGCCUGCUGCUUGGAGGGUGGGGCGGGUGAGUGUGCAAUUGCAAAAGAGAAAGAAAUUGGUGUAAAGAUGUUCGUCGCCUAUGUUCCUAAGGAGGGGGAGCAGGUAUGAGAUGCCCGAAUGUUGGCAUCUGUGCUCACGUUGUGUUGGCGGGCCUCAGUCCCUGGAGCAGAGGGAAGGCCUGGGCACCUGGAGGAAAAACCCGGGUGAUGCUGUGUGACCCGCCGUCACCUCGGGGAAGCCGGGGAAACGGGAGGGCCACUCCUUCUCACGCCUCGCUUCCCCGCGGUGUGUUUCUACAGACUCGGUGGCGGAGCGCACCGACUGCCGCCAGGAUGAGGAGGCUGCAGGUAGGGAAGAGCACGCAGCUGGGAUCCAGGGGGAGAGGGUUCCUGGGAGCAGCUGGGUUCCACCUGCUGCCGGGAGAGGGCGGAAGGGGGCUAGGACUUGGGUGGGUGGCCUACUGAGCGGAACUCCGCUGUGGUGUUUUCCCCUCUGAAGUUGCUAAGCCGAAGACGACUUGGGUCCCUGGUCUUUGUUGUGCUGUGUUUGGAUUCGUGUCUCCUUCCUUUGAGAGGGAGAAUGGCUUUUCCCUCCGAAGCGGCUCCUUCCAGCUCUUGUCUCUGGCCAUGGUGCCAGCUUGCUUUGUGGGUCGCACCCUGAGGGUCCUGUGCACAAGAGCUGUUGACUUAGUUUCCUUUGUUGCCCUUGAGGGCCCUGGUGUGGUGGGACGCAACCCUCUCCUAGGCCCUUGACCCUGGAGACCAAGUUUGCCUGGUGAGUGUCAGGUGGCGGGUGAGAAGGCAGGUCUCUCCCUCUGCACGUUUGGGAUUUCUGGCCUCCCUGUCCUGGUGUGUCCUGGCGGUGUGUCCUGAGGGAAGGGGCGUUCCCAGAGUUGGAUGCCCAGACCUGGGACGUGAGGCGCAGAGAGAUCU
rnacentral:lncRNA from 9 species